UACGAAGGGGGCUAGCGUUGUUCGGAUUUACUGGGCGUAAAGCGCACGUAGACGGAUCUUUAAGUCAGAGGUGAAAUCCCGAGGCUCAACCUUGGAACUGCCUUUGAUACUGGGGAUCUUGAGUCCGGGAGAGGUGAGUGGAACUGCGAGUGUAGAGGUGAAAUUCGUAGAUAUUCGCAAGAACACCAGUGGCGAAGGCGGCUCACUGGCCCGGUACUGACGCUGAGGUGCGAAAGCGUGGGGAGCAAACAGG
rnacentral:rRNA from 1 species